GACAGAGGAGGCAAGCGUUGUUCGGAAUUAUUGGGCUUAAAGCGCGCGUAGGCGGCUCGGAAAGUGUCCUGUGAAAUUCCGUCGCUCAACGACGGAACUGCGGGCAAACUCCCGGGCUUGAGGUUGGUAGAGGUGCCUGGAACUCUAGGUGGAGCGGUGAAAUGCGUAGAUAUCUAGAGGAACGCCGGAAGCGAAAGCGGGGCACUGGGCCAAAAUCUGACGCUGAUGCGCGAAAGCGUGGGGAGCAAACAGG
rnacentral:rRNA from 1 species